rnacentral:rRNA from 1 species
UGGGGAAUAUUGGACAAUGGGGGCAACCCUGAUCCAGCAAUGCCGCGUGAGUGAUGAAGGCCUUCGGGUUGUAAAGCUCUUUUGUUAGGGACGAUAAUGACGGUACCUAACGAAUAAGCUCCGGCUAACUUCGUGCCAGCAGCCGCGGUAAUACGAAGGGAGCUAGCGUUGUUCGGAAUUACUGGGCGUAAAGGGCGCGUAGGCUGUUUUUUAAGUCAGAUGUGAAAGCCUUGGGCUUAACCUGAGAAUUGCAUUUGAUACUGAGAAACUAGAGAUCGAGAGAGGAAAGUGGAAUUACGAGUGUAGAGGUGAAAUUCGUAGAUAUUCGUAAGAACACCAGUGGCGAAGGCGACUUUCUGGCUCGAUACUGACGCUAAGGCGCGAAAGCGUGGGGAGCAAACA